CCUACGGUGUGCAGCAGUGGGGAAUAUUGGACAAUGGGCGAAAGCCUGAUCCAGCCAUGCCGCGUGUGUGAAGAAGGCCUUCGGGUUGUAAAGCACUUUCAGUGGGGAAGAACGCCUUGGGGCUAAUACCCUCGAGGAAGGACAUCACCCACAGAAGAAGCACCGGCUAACUCCGUGCCAGCAGCCGCGGUAAUACGGAGGGUGCGAGCGUUAAUCGGAAUUACUGGGCGUAAAGCGCGCGUAGGCGGUCUGAUAAGCCGGUUGUGAAAGCCCCGGGCUCAACCUGGGAACGGCAUCCGGAACUGUCAGGCUAGAGUGCAGGAGAGGAAGGUAGAAUUCCCGGUGUAGCGGUGAAAUGCGUAGAGAUCGGGAGGAAUACCAGUGGCGAAGGCGGCCUUCUGGACUGACACUGACGCUGAGGUGCGAAAGCGUGGGUAGCAAACAGGAUUAGAUACCCCGGUAGUC
rnacentral:rRNA from 1 species